rnacentral:rRNA from 1 species
UACGUACUGGGCGAACGUUAUUCGGAAUCACUGGGCUUAAAGGGUGCGUAGGCGGCUUUCCAGGUCCGGUGUGAAAUCUUACGGCUCAACCGUAAAAUUGCGCUGGAAACCGGAAGGCUUGAGUGUGCUAGGGGUGUGUGGAACUUCCAGUGGAGCGGUGAAAUGUGUUGAUAUUGGAAGGAACGCCGGUGGCGAAAGCGACACACUGGGGCAUAACUGACGCUGAGGCACGAAAGCUAGGGUAGCGAACGGG